AAUCAACGCUGGCGGCGUGCCUAACACAUGCAAGUCGAACGAGAAAGAGGGGGCAACUCCUUGAGUAAAGUGGCGACCGGGUGAGUAACACGUGACUAACCUACCCUUGAGUGGGGAAUAACCUUCCGAAAGGAGGGCUAAUACCGCAUAACAUCGCGAGGCGAGAUUCCUUGUGAUCAAAGGAGCAAUUCGCUGAAGGAGGGGGUCGCGGCUGAUUAGCUAGUUGGUGAGGUAACGGCUCACCAAGGCGAUGAACAGUAUCCGGCCUGAGAGGGCGCACGGACACACUGGAACUGAAACACGGUCCAGACUCCUACGGGAGGCAGCAGUGGGGAAUUUUGCGCAAUGGGGGAAACCCUGACGCAGCAACGCCGCGUGGAGGAUGAAGGUCUUUGGAUUGUAAACUCCUUUCGAUCGGGACGAUUAUGACGGUACCGGAAGAAGAAGCACCGGCUAACUCUGUGCCAGCAGCCGCAGUAAUAC
rnacentral:rRNA from 1 species